UUGGUUAUCUUGGGCUGGAGGAGUAUCAAGACGCCGAACGAGCAGCAUAGCAUACUGCACGGGAACAUUGACGAUCUAUGGAAGUAUAUGGUGACGAUUGUAGCCCUUUAAUGGUGUGUGAUCAGCUAAAGUCUCAAAGAGUUGUUUUGGUCCAGCUCAAUUGAUCACUGUUUUCCCUGCCUUGAAAUUGUAUUUUCUUUGUUUCUGUGAAUUGUUUAUUUUGUUUCCUUUUACUUUUUGGCCCAUGACUAUUGGUUAUCGUUUGGUCCGUUUAUUUUACAUGCCAAUGAGGCCAUUACUGGCAGCUUACUCAUUGUAACUAUAUAGGGAGGAAGUAUAUGACUAUCAUUCACAUGUGUGCUGUGGGGUUUUUUUGUAUUUCAUGCUUUGAGGUGCUAUGUAUGAGAAUUUACGUUAGUUUUUUGGGUUUAUUGUAUUAAUCAAUUAUUUGUUAAUUUCAUUUUUAUUUUCUUUGAGAGUGAUAUUAUCCUCUGCCGUUAUUUGUGUCUCCAUCUUGCAUGAGUAAACUUAGCCAGCUUGGAAGUGAAACUACUUGAUUAAUAAAAUCGAAACUGCAUCUAUAGUAAUUCUGUCUUAAGGAUAUUCUUUUAUUUGAAUAGCCGUGCGGGAAAACCCCUUAUAUGACCUGGGAUCUCCUACCCAAAUAAAAUUGGAGUGGCGUAGUCAAGAAUAUAGGAGUAUUUGCUCUCUGAUCU